CUUUGAUUUGACGAUCGUACACCUUUGAUUUGACGAUUGUACACCUUUGAUUUGAUGAUUGUACACCUUUGAUUUGACGAUUGUACACCUUUGAUUUGAUGAUUGUACACCUUCGAUUUGAUGAUUGUACACCUUUGAUUUGAUGAUUGUACACCUUUGAUUUGACGAUUGUACACCUUUGAUUUGAUGAUUGUACACCUUUGAUUUGAUGAUUGUACACCUUUGAUUUGACGAUUGUACACCCAGGGAUGGAUCCAGCAUGGUCUGGUAGGGGG
rnacentral:lncRNA from 1 species